rnacentral:rRNA from 1 species
AUUGAACGCUGGCGGCAGGCCUAACACAUGCAAGUCGAGCGGAUGAAGGGAGCUUGCUCCUGGAUUCAGCGGCGGACGGGGGAGUAAUGCCUAGGAAUCUGCCUGGUAGUGGGGGAUAACGUCCGGAAACGGGCGCUAAUACCGCAUACGUCCUGAGGGAGAAAGUGGGGGAUCUUCGGACCUCACGCUAUCAGAUGAGCCUAGGUCGGAUUAGCUAGUUGGUGGGGUAAAGGCCUACCAAGGCGACGAUCCGUAACUGGUCUGAGAGGAUGAUCAGUCACACUGGAACUGAGACACGGUCCAGACUCCUACGGGAGGCAGCAGUGGGGAAUAUUGGACAAUGGGCGAAAGCCUGAUCCAGCCAUGCCGCGUGUGUGAAGAAGGUCUUCGGAUUGUAAAGCACUUUAAGUUGGGAGGAAGGGCAGUAAGUUAAUACCUUGCUGUUUUGACGUUACCAACAGAAUAAGCACCGGCUAACUUCGUG